UGCCUUUGUGUUGCCCGUUCACUUUUGGAAACUAGUGAAUGUGGUGUCAAGAAAGGCAUAAACUAAACACUUUGCAGUCCUUUCCUGCCCUUGAAUAUAUCUUUGGUGUAGGAGCUGCAUAAGUAACAGUG